GACGAACGCUGGCGGCGUGCUUAACACAUGCAAGUCGAACGGAAAGGCCCUGCUUUUGUGGGGUGCUCGAGUGGCGAACGGGUGAGUAACACGUGAGUAACCUGCCCUUGACUUUGGGAUAACUUCAGGAAACUGGGGCUAAUACCGGAUAGGAGCUCCUGCUGCAUGGUGGGGGUUGGAAAGUUUCGGCGGUUGGGGAUGGACUCGCGGCUUAUCAGCUUGUUGGUGGGGUAGUGGCUUACCAAGGCUUUGACGGGUAGCCGGCCUGAGAGGGUGACCGGGCACAUUGGUACUGAGAUACGGACCAGACUCCUACGGGAGGCAGCAGUGGGGAAUCUUGCACAAUGGGCGGAAGCCUGAUGCAGCAACGCCGCGUGCGGGAUGACGGCCUUCGGGUUGUAAACCGCUUUCGCCUGUGACGAAGCGUGAGUGACGGUAAUGAGUAAAGAAGCACCGGCUAACUACGUG
rnacentral:rRNA from 1 species